UGCAAGAAACCCCUCAGCAGCCCUCAGGUGUCACUGACCCCUCCCUCCUUCUCCAUCAUGAAGGCAACCGUUGAGGCAGUGGUCGUCGCUCCCGAAAGCACCCUGGGACUGCAGCAGCUCAUAUUCCUGAUCCAGGAAGUCUAGGCUGUUGUUGCUUGGCAACCCUCGGAUGGUGAACUUAUGGGACACUUUGGUCCACUGCUCCCGAUUUGCCGCCACUCUCUCGUACAGCUCAGUGGCCCCAGGAAACAGUUCAGAGAGCAGCCUGAAAGGACAGAGGAAUGGCGAUGAAUUCUAUCACUUUAAACCUGCAACGUUUUGUACAAUUGAUGGCUGAAGAGUAAGCUGUCAUUGACUUGACAUCAAAGCUGUUGUGUGGUGUCAUCAGACAGCGAGCGAGGUUGGUAUGUGAACUCGGCGAAACACGAGUGGAUCUCCUUCACUGGUUCGACCCCCGUGACCAGCAGCUUAGACACCUCUUCCUCUGACACCUGCAACGUACACAUACUGAAUCAUAUUGAGUGAAUAAUAUUGACAGUGUCAGUAAACAUGACAUGUCUGUGUGCAAAAGUGUGUGUGAUGAACAAAUAUGGUUUUACCUUCAUAUGGUACAUCAUCAUUUCAUUGGCCAGGUGGGACCUGAACUGAGCUUCAUGGACUUUCUUAUACAGCAGGGACUGGAGACACAAACAACAGAUUUUAGUACCAACACUUUUAACUCAAGUUCUCACAGAUUCUACUUUGAGUUGAGACAUGCAGUGAAUUUAUAAUACAAGCAGUCAUAAAGCCAGAAACUAUUA